AAGACAUCCUCUGAGUCAACAAAAACCAUGAAAUCCUGCUGUAAAUCAUUGGCUGAGGUUAUCAUUGCUGUGUUGUUACUCAUGUAUUUAGUUUGUAGUAAUACAGCUCUAGCAAGAGUUCAUCCACCAUCCUCUCAAGCUCUCCUACAUGCACACGCAGACAAGAAAAUGCCCGUCACCGUCGAGCCGGUAGUCGAUAGCCUCCGAAGAAUACCUCCCAGCAUUCCAAAUCCUACUCAGAACAAGUUGAAGCCUAGGAAGGGCUGAAACAUUACAGUUGCAUGAACAGCUCAAAGAUAUAGAUGUUGCUCUACAUGAAGAAAUUAAAUUAAUUUGUUGUUUAUUUUAGAAUCUCUUUUUUAGCUCUGUGAGAGUGUACUUUUUGUAGCUCUUAAUAAUUAUUGUUAUUAUUAUUUUUGCUAGGAUUAGCAGAAGUGAUUAAGAACAGUUAAAACCAAGUAAGAAGGCUUAUGAAAAUGUUUAGAUAUGACCCAAUUUUAUCAAAUUUUAGCAAGUAUAGAUUAUCUACUUUGAGUAACUCAAUGCUUUUGGCAACAAUAUUUUGAAUUAGCAAUUUAGCAUUAUGAAUGUACCCAUAUUUUUAUUUGCUGCAAAUACACAGAGAUAUACCAGUAAA